GGCCUGCGCGGAAGAUGUAACGGGGCUAAACCAUGCACCGAAGCUGCGGCAGCGACACUGUGUGUUGUUGGGUAGGGGAGCGUUCUGUAAGCCUGUGAAGGUGUGUCGUGAGGCAUGCUGGAGGUAUCAGAAGUGCGAAUGCUGACAUAAGUAACGAUAAAGCGGGUGAAAAGCCCGCUCGCCGGAAGACCAAGGGUUCCUGUCCAACGUUAAUCGGGGCAGGGUGAGUCGACCCCUAAGGCGAGGCCGAAAGGCGUAGUCGAUGGGAAACGGGUUAAUAUUCCCGUACUUGGUGUUACUGCGAAGGGGGGACGGAGAAGGCUAUGUUGGCCGGGCGACGGUUGUCCCGGUUUAAGCGUGUAGGUGUGUGUUCCAGGUAAAUCCGGUUCACUUUAACACUGAGGCGUGACGACGAGGCACUACGGUGCUGAAGCAACAAAUGCCCUGCUUCCAGGAAAAGCCUCUAAGCAUCAGGUAACAUCAAAUCGUACCCCAAACCGACACAGGUGGUCAGGUAGAGAAUACCAAGGCGCUUGAGAGAACUCGGGUGAAGGAACUAGGCAAAAUGGUGCCGUAACUUCGGGAGAAGGCACGCUGACACGUAGGUGAAGUGAUUUACUCAUGGAGCUGAAGUCAGUCGAAGAUACCAGCUGGCUGCAACUGUUUAUUAAAAACACAGCACUGUGCAAACACGAAAGUGGACGUAUACGGUGUGACGCCUGCCCGGUGCCGGAAGGUUAAUUGAUGGGGUCAGCGCAAGCGAAGCUCCUGAUCGAAGCCCCGGUAAACGGCGGCCGUAACUAUAACGGUCCUAAGGUAGCGAAAUUCCUUGUCGGGUAAGUUCCGACCUGCACGAAUGGCGUAAUGAUGGCCAGGCUGUCUCCACCCGAGACUCAGUGAAAUUGAACUCGCUGUGAAGAUGCAGUGUACCCGCGGCAAGACGGAAAGACCCCGUGAACCUUUACUAUAGCUUGACACUGAACAUUGAGCCUUGAUGUGUAGGAUAGGUGGGAGGCUUUGAAGUGUGGACGCCAGUCUGCAUGGAGCCGACCUUGAAAUACCACCCUUUAAUGUUUGAUGUUCUAACGUGGACCCG
rnacentral:rRNA from 1 species